GCAUCCGUAGCUCAGCUGGAUAGAGUACUCGGCUACGAACCGAGCGGUCGGAGGUGAAUCCUCCCGGAUGCACCA
rnacentral:tRNA from 1 species